CGGAUGGGUGAGUAACACGUAGGUAACCUGCCCUAAAGCGGGGGAUACCAUCUGGAAACAGGUGCUAAUACCGCAUAACCCCAGCAGUCACAUGAGUGCUGGUUGAAAGACGGCUUCGGCUGUCACUUUAGGAUGGACCUGCGGCGUAUUAGCUAGUUGGUGGAGUAACGGUUCACCAAGGCGAUGAUACGUAGCCGACCUGAGAGGGUAAUCGGCCACAUUGGGACUGAGACACGGCCCAA
rnacentral:rRNA from 1 species